rnacentral:rRNA from 1 species
GAUGAACGCUGGCGGCAUGCCUUACACAUGCAAGUCGAACGGCAGCACGGGAGCAAUCCUGGUGGCGAGUGGCGAACGGGUGAGUAAUAUAUCGGAACGUGCCCGGUCGUGGGGAUAACGUAGCGAAAGCUACGCUAAUACCGCAUACGAUCUACGGAUGAAAGCGGGGGAUCGCAAGACCUCGCGCGAUUGGAGCGGCCGAUAUCAGAUUAGGUAGUUGGUGAGGUAAAGGCUCACCAAGCCGACGAUCUGUAGCUGGUCUGAGAGGACGACCAGCCACACUGGGACUGAGACACGGCCCAGACUCCUACGGGAGGCAGCAGUGGGGAAUUUUGGACAAUGGGCGCAAGCCUGAUCCAGCAAUGCCGCGUGCAGGAUGAAGGCCUCGGGUU